rnacentral:sRNA from 2 species
CCCACAAUCUUUGGGGAGUAGCUUACCGAGACUGCAAGUCCGGUUCGUCCGUCAACAUAAUUGAUGCAAAAUCAUCAUGGCGUUCGAGACUCUUUGUUUAGCAAGACCUUAGAUAAGAAUCGCUAUCCUUGGUGGGAGAGUGGUGCUUAUCUAUUGUUUGUUAUCUCCCACCUUAAAGAGAGUC